CCCUUAGAUGUCCUGGGCCGCACGCGCGCUACACUGACAUGUUCAACAAGCCUCCUAGUUCGACAGGAUUUGGGAAAUCUUUGAACGCAUGUCGUGAUAGGGAUAGAUCAUUGCAGUUAUUGAUCUUGAACGAGGAAUUCCUAGUAAACGCGAGUCAUCAGCUCGCAUUGAUUACGUCCCUGCCCUUUGUACACACCGCCCGUCGCACCUACCGAUUGAAUGUUUCGGUGAAGAUUCCGGAUAGGACUUUUUUGAUUUAUUUCAAUUUUGUCUUAAAAGCUAUCUAAACCUCAACAUUUAGAGGAAGGUGAAGUCGUAACA
rnacentral:rRNA from 1 species